AUGUUCCUCUGCUGCCGCCGCCACCUCACCUUCUCACCGCUCACCGCCGUGCCCUCUCCCAGUGGACACCGCCCUCUCAAGCCAAGAACGCUCAGAGCCCCAAUCCUAGCAUCCAAGAACCCCCCACCACGGCCAUGGCCACUGCCAAGGCGGCAAUGGCGGUGGCGGUGCAGCAACACCGAUGCCGCCCAACCGCCACCCGUCGUCGAGGCCAGUGUGUCCGGCGACGGCGAGAAGAAGAGCUUCUGGGCGGCGGUGAGCCUCAUCAUCGGCACGGCGGUCGGGCCAGGCAUGCUGGCGCUGCCGUCGGCCACCAUCCGCUCCGGUACGGUCCCCUCCACCGUGGCCAUCCUGCUCUCCUGGGCCUACGUCGUGUCUUCCAUCGUCCUCGUCGCCGAGCUCAGCUUCGCGGCCAUGGAGAGUGGGGGCGUGGACGAGGUCAGCUUCACAGGACUUGCGUCGAGCACCUUGGGGGCAACCUUUGGCGGUGUCGUUGCCGUCGUCUACGCUGCGCUGAGCUUCUCCCUGAUGGUCGCCUGCGUAGCCGGCAUCGGCUCGCUGGUCUCCCAGCUCUUCCCCGCGGUGAAUCCGGUCUUGGCGAACGCGCUCUUCCCGUGCUUCGCCGGGGUGCUCAUCGCGUUCUUCCCGUUCAAGGCUGUCGAUGGCGUCAACCGCGUCCUGUGCGGCCUGAUGCUCGUCUCGAUCACGUCGCUUGUGGUGACAGGCGUCUCCGUCGGCCGGAGCAGCAUGCUGAAUUCGCUUGGCUACGCGUGCUGGAGCCCUGGUGCCAUCUUGCCGGCCAUUCCGGUCACCGUGCUCACGCUUGGGUUCCACGUGAUCACGCCAUUCAUCUGCAAGAUUGUAGGUGACUCGGUGUAUGAUGCACGCAGGGCAAUUCUCAUUGGGGGUGCUGUACCAUUGGUCAUGGUUUUGUCAUGGAAUGCUGUCAUUCUAGGAUUGGCAGGUGCGACCGGCAGUGCAAGGUUCGAUGACCCUAUUAAGCUUCUUCUCUCGGUGAAUCCAGCAGCAUUGGCUCCUGUUCGAGGCUUUGCGUUUGCUGCAUUGGCGACGAGCUUGAUAGGAUAUGCAGUCAGCUUCCCGAAGCAGUUGGAAGACACUUUGCAGUUGAUUGUUAACAGAUUUUCUCCGAAGCAAGGAAGUGUGGAGUUGUCCAAUGCUGGUGGUGGUCAUGGCAGGAACGAGGUGGUUCUUACGUUGGCAGUGCUGAUCAUUCCCAUAUUUAUUGUAUCAUUCUUCUCAACAGCGUUUGCCAAGGCAUUAGAUUUUGCCGGGAUUUAUGCAAACUGCUUCUUGUUUGGGAUCCUGCCUCCUGCAAUGGCCUGGAUUCAUCGGUCACGGAAGAAGAGGUCACCUGGUUCAUGUGAAGAUAUUUUGCCUGGUGGGAAUGCUGCUCUCUUGGUACUUUUCAUCGUUGCGGUUAUCCUAGCAUUCCGGCAUUAA
rnacentral:rRNA from 1 species